rnacentral:rRNA from 1 species
AAUCACUUGUCUUUUAAAUGGAGACCUGUAUGAAUGGCACAACGAGGGCUUAGCUGUCUCCUCUUUCAAGUCAAUGAAAUUGAUCUCCCCGUGCAGAAGCGGGGAUAACAACAUAAGACGAGAAGACCCUAUGGAGCUUUAGACACCCAGGACAGCCCAUGUUUAAACAACCCUAAAUAAAUGGAUUAAACCAAAUGAGACCUGCCCUCUGUCUUCGGUUGGGGCGACCAUGGGGAAACAAAAAACCCCCACGUGGACUGGGGACACAUACCUCCCACCCCCUCCCCACAAACAAGAGCUACAACUCUAACAAACAGAACUUCUGACCAAAAAUGAUCCGGCAACGCCGAUCAACGGACCAAGUUACCCUAGGGAUAACAGCGCAAUCCCCUUUUAGAGCCCA